ACGCUGGCGGCGUGCCUAAUACAUGCAAGUAGAACGCUGAAGCUUGGUGCUUGCACCGAGCGGAUGAGUUGCGAACGGGUGAGUAACGCGUAGGUAACCUGCCUCUUAGCGGGGGAUAACUAUUGGAAACGAUAGCUAAUACCGCAUAAAAGACGAUAUCGCAUGAUAUUGAUUUGAAAGGUGCAAUUGCAUCACUAAGAGAUGGACCUGCGUUGUAUUAGCUAGUUGGUGAGGUAACGGCUCACCAAGGCGACGAUACAUAGCCGACCUGAGAGGGUGAUCGGCCACACUGGGACUGAGACACGGCCCAGACUCCUACGGGAGGCAGCAGUAGGGAAUCUUCGGCAAUGGGGGCAACCCUGACCGAGCAACGCCGCGUGAGUGAAGAAGGUUUUCGGAUCGUAAAGCUCUGUUGUAAGAGAAGAACGAGUGUGAGAGUGGAAAGUUCACACUGUGACGGUAACUUACCAGAAAGGGACGGCUAACUACGUGCCAGCAGCCGCGGUAAUACGUAGGUCCCGAGCGUUAUCCGGAUUUAUUGGGCGUAAAGCGAGCGCAGGCGGUUAGAUAAGUCUGAAGUUAAAGGCUGUGGCUUAACCAUAGUACGCUUUGGAAACUGUUUAACUUGAGUGCAGAAGGGGAGAGUGGAAUUCCAUGUGUAGCGGUGAAAUGCGUAGAUAUAUGGAGGAACACCGGUGGCGAAAGCGGCUCUCUGGUCUGUAACUGACGCUGAGGCUCGAAAGCGUGGGGAGCAAACAGGAUUAGAUACCCUGGUAGUCCACGCCGUAAACGAUGAGUGCUAGGUGUUGGGUCCUUUCCGGGACUCAGUGCCGCAGCUAACGCAUUAAGCACUCCGCCUGGGGAGUACGACCGCAAGGUUGAAACUCAAAGGAAUUGACGGGGGCCCGCACAAGCGGUGG
rnacentral:rRNA from 1 species